UGGAAAGACUACGAUGGCUGGCGUUACGAAACUGGGAGGAGAAGGAAGAAGUGGAGUCUAUGGUGUUUCUCCGAGCUCCGAAGGCAUUGCUAACUUGGUGGUCUCCGCUGGAACAGCCUUGUAUGUAGCCUUCUGGUCACCUCACAACUCAAAAUAGAUUUAUAAUCACUAACAUAACCUAAACUGGAGAUCUGUUCUCAUUUUCCUUUCUCCCUUCCUCACCCACAAAAUAAAUGAAAUUGGCAAUAACCAAAAA